rnacentral:rRNA from 1 species
AAUUAAAUUUAUUAAUAUAUUUUUUUUUUUUUUAUUUUUUAUAAAAAUAAUUUAUUUAUUUAAUGUUUUAGUAUUUAGUAAAAAUUAAUUUUUAGAUUUAUAGUUUAAUAGUAUUGUAAAAGAAAUUGUUAAAUUUUAUAAAGAAUUUUAUAGUACCUUUUGUAUCAGGGUUGAUUAAAAUUUUUAAUUUUUUUUUAAUUUCUCAAAAUUUAUAGAGUUAAUUUUAUUAUUAAUUUAUUGUGGUAAAAAUAUUUAUAAAAUAAUAUUAGUUUUGAAAUUUAAUUCGUUAUAUUAUAUUUAGUUAUUUAAGAUUUAAAUUUAAUUUAAAAUUUUAAAAGUUGUAUUAAUUUUAUUGAUUAAUAUUUUAAAUUUAAAUUAUUUUAGGGAUAAGCUUGAAAUUUUAAUAUAAUAAUUUAUUUAUUUUAAUAAUUUAUAGGAAUAGAAAUUUUUAUUUAAGUUUGUAAAAAUUUAUUAUUUAUUUAAUUUUAAUUUAUUAUAUUUAUAUUUAUUUUUAAUAUUAAAUUUUAUUAAUUAAUAUUUAAUUAAUAGUAAUAAUGAUUAAAUUAGUAUAAUAUAUAGAUUUAUAAAUUAUGAAUUCGGCAAAAAUUAUUUUCAUCUGUUUAACAAAAACAUUGUAUUAAGUUUAAUUUAAUAUAGGAUCUGCUCAAUGAUUUAUUAAAUAGCUGCAGUAUUUUGACUGUGCAAAGGUAGCAUAAUAAUUAGUCUUUUAAUUGAGGACUUGAAUGAAAGAUUUGAUGAGAAAUAGACUUUAUUAUUUAUAAAAUUAAAAUUUUAUUUUUAAGUAAAAAAGCUUAAAUUAUUUAAAGGGACGAUAAGACCCUAUAAAACUUUAUAAAUUUUGAUUUUAAUUUUUUUGGAUUCAUAAAUAUUUUAUAAUUAAAAUUUAUUUUAUUGGGGUGAUAAAAAAAAUUAUUAAACUUUUUUUAAAAUUUAACAUUAUUUAAUGAUUAGUUGAAUUAAAAUUUUUAAUUAAAGGAAAAAGUUACUUUAGGGAUAACAGCGUAAUUAAUUUUUUAAGUUCAAAUUUAAAAAUUAGUUUGCGACCUCGAUGUUGAAUUAAGAUUAAUCUUAGGUGCAAAAUUUUAAGUAUUAGGUCUGUUCGACCUUUAAAUUCUUACAUGAUUUGAGUUCAAACCGGUGUAAGCCAGGUUGGUUUCUAUCUUUUAUUAAUUGAAUUAUUUUAGUACGAAAGGAUUGAAUAAUUAAAUUAAAUUUUAUAUAAUGAAUUAAAAUAAUUUA